rnacentral:rRNA from 1 species
GACGAACGCUGGCGGCGUGCCUAAUACAUGCAAGUCGAGCGAAGCGGCGGAUGGGUGAGUAACGCGUGGGUUACCUGCCCUUAAGUCUUGGAUCCCAUUUGGAAACAGAUGCUACUACCGGAUAUUAAAGGAUGGACCUGCGGUGAAUUAGCUAGUUGGUAAGGUAAUGGCUUACCAAGGCGAUGAUGCAUAGCCGAGCUGAGAGAGUGAUCGGCCACAUUGGGACUGAGACACGGCCCAAACUCCUACGGGAGGCAGCAGUAGGGAAUCUUCGACAAUGGACGAAAGUCUGAUGGAGCAACGCCGCGUGAGUGAAGAAGGUUUUCGGAUCGUAAAGCUCUGUUGUUAGAGAAGCGGUAAUCAACCAGAAAGUCACGGCUAACUACGUGCCAGCAGCCGCGGUAAUAC